CCUACGGGUGGCAGCAGUGAGGAAUAUUGGGCAAUGGACGGAAGUCUGAACCAGCCAGGCCGCGUGCAGGAAGACGGCUCUAUGAGUUGUAAACUGCUUUUGUACAAGGGUAAACCUGAAUACGUGUAUUCAGCUGAAAGUACUGUACGAAUGAGGAUCGGCUAACUCUGUGCCAGCAGCCGCGGUAAUACGGAGGAUACAAGCGUUAUCCGGAUUUAUUGGGUUUAAAGGGGUCGUAGGCGGAUUGAUAAGUUAGAGGUGAAAUGUCCGGGCUUAACUCGGGAACUGCCUCUCAUACUGUUGAUCUAGAGAGUAGGAGCGGUAGGCGGAAUGUAGGGUGUAGCGGUGAAAUGCUUAGAUAUCAUACAGAACACCGAUUGCGAAGGCAGCUUACCAAUCUAUAUCUGACGUUGAGGCACGAAAGCGUGGGGAGCAAACAGGAUUAGAUACCCCAGUAGUC
rnacentral:rRNA from 1 species